rnacentral:rRNA from 1 species
AUUGAACGCUGGCGGCAUGCCUUACACAUGCAAGCCGAACGGCAGCACGGGGCAACCUGGUGGCGAGUGGCGAACGGGUGAGUAAUGCAUCGGAACGUGCCAUUGAGUGGGGGAUAACGUAGCGAAAGUUGCGCUAAUACCGCAUAUUCUGUGAGCAGGAAAGCAGGGGACCGCAAGGCCUUGCGCUCUUUGAGCGGCCGAUGUCAGAUUAGCUAGUUGGUGAGGUAAAGGCUUACCAAGGCGACGAUCUGUAGCGGGUCUGAGAGGAUGAUCCGCCACACUGGAACUGAGACACGGUCCAGACUCCUACGGGAGGCAGCAGUGGGGAAUUUUGGACAAUGGGCGCAAGCCUGAUCCAGCCAUGCCGCGUGAGUGAAGAAGGCCUCGGGUUGUAAAGCUCUUUCGGCCGGGAAGAAAUCGCAUGGGUUAAUACCCUGUGUGGAUGACGGUACCGGAAUAAGAAGCACCGGCUAACUACGUG